GGCCUUGUAGCUCAGCUGGUGCGUACAAAGCGUAGGCGGUGUCCAUGCGUGGGUUCGAAUCCCACCGAGGCUA
rnacentral:tRNA from 1 species